CUCGUUGGAAAUAUAUCAGCUUUUUUAUUGCAGUAUGAAUAGCACAGCAUCAUUUGUUGGAGGACUGAAAGGAAAAACAACACUGUGCAUCAC